rnacentral:rRNA from 1 species
GACGAACGCUGGCGGCGUGCUUAACACAUGCAAGUCGAGCGGUAAGGCCCUUUCGGGGGUACACGAGCGGCGAACGGGUGAGUAACACGUGGGUGACCUGCCCUCAGCUCUGGGAUAAGCCUGGGAAACCGGGUCUAAUACUGGAUAUGACUCCAUGACGCAUGUUGUGGGGUGGAAAGCCUUGUGCGGCUGAGGAUGGGCCCGCGGCCUAUCAGCUUGUUGGUGGGGGAUGGCCUACCAAGGCGACGACGGGUAGCCGGCCUGAGAGGGCGACCGGCCACACUGGGACUGAGACACGGCCCAGACUCCUACGGGAGGCAGCAGUGGGGAAUCUUGCGCAAUGGGCGAAAGCCUGACGCAGCGACGCCGCGUGAGGG